UGGGGUGAGAUCUAAAGAUAUUUCUUUUACAAGGAAAAAUAGCUUAAUUAGCCACCUUAU
rnacentral:tRNA from 1 species